GAACAGGUUUUCAUCCGCCGUUUCGCGGAGAGCGCCCUCGUUCUGUCGCUGAAUCCUGGCCCAGGUUUCUUCGUUCAUGUGCUGGUACUCGUGCACCGACUGACCUCCUCUGUCGUCUGUGGCCCGCGGUGGACGCUGCAUGUCAAAGGGGCCAGCUCAUAAGCAUCAGGGUUCAGCGAGGGCACUAGAUGGAUGCGUGCGCUCUCCACAAGGCGGUGGACUCGUGGAUUGUCAUCAUUGUAUUCCUUACAGAGGAACUGCAUCAAGAGCAACAAAAGUUCCCUGCCCAGAACUUCGUUCCCAUGAAGCCCUGCUGUGUAACGGAAUUCGGGCUCACCUUUUAAAAACAAGAGGAAACCAGUUGUGCUGAACAAAGGCUGAAGCUGGAGCCAGCAGUGGUUUUAGUCUGAGUCCAAAAGGCUGAACUCCAGCUGGAAACCUAAACCUUUGCGUGGGAAGAACAUGUCAGCUCUGCCUUGGGCUCAGAGUUUGUUCACUAAACUCACAGAAUACCAAGUCUGUGCUCACAAAAAUCCUCUUCUCUAAAGAGGCCGUGUGUUUCUGCUCUGAUUAUAAUAUGUUUUGUGGCUGUUUUCCAGAAAUACUCACUCUUUGGCUCUGCAUGAGGAACCAUCUGCUUUCUCUUCUCCUCCUCCUCCUCUUCCCACAUCUUCCGUAGUUUUUCCGCUGUGUAAGGGAAUGGAGAGACUGAGACUCGAAAUAGUUGGUCGUUUUUAGCCUCAUUUCAUAGUAAAUCUAUUCAAUAAAUGCCAGCAAAAAACAUG